rnacentral:lncRNA from 1 species
AGUUCUGCAUUUACUCAGAAGAAAAGAUUUUCCAGUCCAUAAACACAUCUUUCAAGAAUGCCAUGCAUGUAUGAGCAAUGAGUUAGUUAUUUCUUACCUGUCCCUUUGCCUGACUGCCCCAGCAGCUGCUCUGACAACUCUACUUUGUGUGUCAAGUUGACCUAAGACUAGCCAGCACACCCAGGAAUCUCCUGCUGGGAUAAGGAAAAGGCACUAACCAGAGGAGGGAGCUUGUCCCUGGGUAAGAGAUUUCACCGAGUUCUAACAACUUGUCAGAACUCCUAACAGAACACACUGGAAUGAGCAAAUGUCUCUAGCCUCUGGAGCUGUGUGAAUCAAUGUGACCAGUAUGGAAAGACCCAGGCUGUGUGUCCAUUACAGAGGGGCACAAUCCCUGCUCACCUCAGCCUCCUUGCCAGAGAAUGGAUGGGACUUUUAUCUGCCUCUCCCUUAUCUCCAGAG